rnacentral:lncRNA from 1 species
AUUUAUAAGUACACACCAUACAUACAUAUACUAGGUCAGGUACUACUGGUAAGGCAUGAUCCAAUGCCCCCGGGAGAUCCUGGGAUCGAGACCUGUCAGGGUUGUAAUCCUUACCGAUGGUGGAGGGUAACGUGCUCCUUGUCGUAGGGCAUCAUUGACCUCAGAUAAAGAAAUAUUGCGAGCGGACUUGGGCUUCAGACAGAUCGGCAGAUUCCGUUGGAUCCCGGGGGUGGGUGCUGAACCUGAGGAAUCUGCUAAGAAGUUAAGUAGGGUGACUAGGCGAGGGUGCCCUGAAAUAGCGGGGAAGACAGGGUUUCGCAGGGUGUAGAUAUACCCGCCUGUUCCACACAUCAUACACACAACAUGAUGCACAAUUACACAUCAGAUGCGCUGGGCUGGGCUGAGUUAGGCUGAUAUCAUUUUGCUGUUUGCUGCUGGUCUUCAUGAUGCCGAUCAAACGGAGACCCACACCCACACCCACACCCACACCCACACCCACACCCACACCCACAGCCACACCCACACCCACACCCACACCCACACCCACACCCACACCCACACCCACACCCACACCCACACCCACACCCACACCCACACCCACACCCAC